CCUACGGGAGGCAGCAGUGGGGAAUUUUGGACAAUGGGCGAAAGCCUGAUCCAGCAAUGCCGCGUGAGUGAAGAAGGCCUUCGGGUUGUAAAGCUCUUUUGUCAGGGAAGAAACGGUGAGAGCUAAUAUCUUUUGCUAAUGACGGUACCUGAAGAAUAAGCACCGGCUAACUACGUGCCAGCAGCCGCGGUAAUACGUAGGGUGCAAGCGUUAAUCGGAAUUACUGGGCGUAAAGCGUGCGCAGGCGGUUUUGUAAGUCUGAUGUGAAAUCCCCGGGCUCAACCUGGGAAUUGCAUUGGAGACUGCAAGGCUAGAAUCUGGCAGAGGGGGGUAGAAUUCCACGUGUAGCAGUGAAAUGCGUAGAUAUGUGGAGGAACACCGAUGGCGAAGGCAGCCCCCUGGGUCAAGAUUGACGCUCAUGCACGAAAGCGUGGGGAGCAAACGGGAUUAGAUACCCUGGUAGUCCACGCCCUAAACGAUGUCUACUAGUUGUCGGGUCUUAAUUGACUUGGUAACGCAGCUAACGCGUGAAGUAGACCGCCUGGGGAGUACGGUCGCAAGAUUAAAACUCAAAGGAAUUGACGGCUGAGACGNGACGAGACGACGACGAGGGAGGAGG
rnacentral:rRNA from 1 species